rnacentral:antisense_RNA from 1 species
GCAGUAAUCGGGAACCUAGGUUUUAUACAUUACGAAUAAAGCUGGCACGUUUCCAUUUCUCCUGGGCAAAUAUUUAGAAGAAAAGUUGCUAGGUAAUUGAAGCACAGAGACCACAGAGGCAAGAGCUGGGGAAGGAAAACUGCCCAUGAGAUGAGAUGUGCCUCUCAGCUUCCAAAAUCGGGGAGUUGCCCCCCAUAGAAUCCAGCCAUCGUGCUGUGAGGAAUCCAAGCAGCUACAUAGAAAGGCCACAACUAGAUAUUCCAGCUGUAGUCAGCUGAAGCUCCAGCCAACAGCCAACAUCAACCACCACGCGUGAAAACGAGCAAGCCUUCAGAUGAUUCCGACUCCCAACCUUCAAGCCACCUCAGCUGAAGCCAAGUAGAGCAGAGACUAGCUGUCCCCCAAUGCUCUAAUAUGCAGAUUCAUAAUUAAAGAGAAUGUUAUUGUUCUAA